GAUGAACGCUGGCGGCGUGCUUAACACAUGCAAGUCGAACGGAAAGGCCAGUGCUUGCACUGGUACUCGAGUGGCGAACGGGUGAGUAACACGUGGGUGAUCUGCCCUGCACUUCGGGAUAAGCCUGGGAAACUGGGUCUAAUACCGGAUAGGACAAUGGUUUGGAUGCCGUUGUGGAAAGUUUUUUCGGUGUGGGAUGAGCUCGCGGCCUAUCAGCUUGUUGGUGGGGUAAUGGCCUACCAAGGCGUCGACGGGUAGCCGGCCUGAGAGGGUGUAGGGCGACAGGGGAACUGAGAGACGGGCCAGACUCCGGAGGGAGGCAGGAGGGGGGAAUAGGGAACAAUGGGCGCAAGCGUGAAGCAGGAAGGCCGCGUGGGGGAUGAAGGCCGUCGGGUUGUAGACUCCUAUCGCUAGGGACGAAGCGAGUUUGUGACGGUACCUAGAGAAGAAGCACCGGCUAACUACGUG
rnacentral:rRNA from 1 species